AGGUUUGAUCCUGGCUCAGGACGAACGCUGGCGGCGUGCUUAACACAUGCAAGUCGAACGGAGUGCCCCUGAAAGAGUUUUCGGACAAUGGAUGGGAACACUUAGUGGCGGACUGGUGAGUAACGCGUGAGGAACCUGCCUUCCAGAGGGGGACAACAGUUGGAAACGACUGCUAAUACCGCAUGAUACAUUUGAAUCGCAUGGUUUGAAUGUCAAAGAUUUAUCGCUGGAAGAUGGCCUCGCGUCUGAUUAGCUAGUUGGUGAGGUAACGGCCCACCAAGGCGACGAUCAGUAGCCGGACUGAGAGGUUGGCCGGCCACAUUGGGACUGAGAUACGGCCCAGACUCCUACGGGAGGCAGCAGUGGGGAAUAUCGGGCAAUGGACGCAAGUCUGACCCAGCAACGCCGCGUGAAGGAAGAAGGCUUUCGGGUUGUAAACUUCUUUUAAGGGGGAAGAGCAGAAGACGGUACCCCUUGAAUAAGCCACGGCUAACUACGUG
rnacentral:rRNA from 1 species